CAAGAAAAAGUGCUGCUGCUUGGUCAUAAAGGGCAGAACCCUAUUUGUCCCACUUGCAUUGUUUGGUGGGUGUUGUGGUUAAGAAAGCACAGCAGGGGCUAUUUUAUUGUUGUUAUGCUCUGGCUUUUCUGAAACUUCACUACUAGAGGAAAGGAUAAAUAACUUCCAGGAGACAGACUCACAAGAACAAAGAGAGAGACAGACAAGCACAGGCGCCAGCUACAGAUGCUGCACCCUGCAGCCAAAAUGAGGGUGUUGUUCCAGGCAGGUUCCAUCUUGUUUCAAAAUCUUCCACUCUCUUUAGGGCAAGACUAGAAGAAAACCCCUGUGAUUUUCUGAAGCGAGGAAGAAAGAACCUGGUGUUUUUAGAAGGGCCAUUUGUGCUUGAUGAAAUCCACUGGAAUUUUGAUCACCUCUCCUUCCUGAUGCAAAAAGAAAAUUGGAGAGCAGACCAAAUACUGUUGUAGCUCCUGAGAAAAUGCAUCUUCUUUUAUCCAGUGGUGCCUGCACACAGUUUAUCAGUGCGUCCAAAAAGAUCAUCUCCCAGUGCCAGGAGGUCCUGUAGCUGUUCCUAGGUGUGGUCCUGAGGGCUUUGCCCACACACCUUGAACUCCCAGCAACUGAUCCCGUGGCAGAUUUCCCUUGAGGAGGUGACACAGAAGGCCGUACUCACAAACCUGGGUUGACUUUGCUGCUAACUGUUGCAGAAGCAGAGCUGGGACAGUGAGCCGCGGGGUUUCCCAGUAAUCAGCUUGGAGUAGUAAAGAAAAAAGAGCUUG